UGUUUUGUGGUAAUAUAAAAUUAUAUGUGAUAUCUUGCUUUGUUUUUAUGUUUCAAUGGUUGAAAGGAUAGCAAAACUACAGUCGGAAAAGCGUGUGAUUUGCCAAAAAAAGGAAAAUGAACUCGACGAAUGAAAAAAAGGAAGUAAUGGUUGAAAGGAUAAAAAAAGUGCACUCGGAAAAGCAGGCAAAAUGCCAAAAAAAAUAAGGGAAAUGAGCCCUUUGGUUGAAAGGAUAUCAAAAGUGUACUCGGAAAACCGGGCGAAUUACGUACAUGUUACAUGUGUAUUCAUGUAACACCCAGAAAAUAUAAAAUUUAUAUUAAAAAUUUAAAGUAAGUAAUAAACAAAAUAAACUAACUAGGAAUAAAAUAACCUAGUUAGUUACAAGACUUAUAGUAAUAGAGAAACUUGGUUAAAAUACACUCUAUACAAUUUGGGUAAACUAGAGGGGCCAUAGGUGACAAAUUAGAAACAAAUUUUAAUUAAAUAAAACUUCAAACACCAACACACCCACCUUAUGUGUAUGCUCUGGUCGAGUUCUUCACAGGAGCCAAAGGGGAGCUCUAAGCUCAAACCCUAGUUGUGCAAUUUCCUUCAAAUUACAAGGGUAAAUCGGCUCCAAAUCGAAAAUCAAACUCAGAAUAGUGAUCACCUUCGUGAAAGGAUCAUAAGGCAAGGAAACCGAGACGUCAAGUGGACAAGCCAGUGUUGAUACGCGUUUGAAAGGAGUGCUUUGAAGGUGAUGUAGGUGGCAUUCCGGAUGGUGACCAAGCAUAAGUUAUGAACCGAACACGAUAUUUUUUUUGAAGCUUCCGCGAAUGAUGUCUGUUUAGUUGUUUGUUCUAAAAAUAUGUAAACUCUUAGAUGUUUAAAACUAGUAUGGUGAUGUAACUUAGACAACUUAGUUUGUUUCAACGUUAACUCUUCGAAGUUUUCUUUUGAAUGGUCGUAUUUUAUUUAUAAAUACGCGUAUUUUUGCAUAUAAAUAUAACUUAUUUGA